AUUGAACGCUGGCGGCAUGCUUUACACAUGCAAGUCGAACGGCAGCGCGGGGCAACCUGGCGGCGAGUGGCGAACGGGUGAGUAAUACAUCGGAACGUACCCAGAAGUGGGGGAUAACGUAGCGAAAGUUACGCUAAUACCGCAUACGUUCUACGGAAGAAAGUGGGGGACCUUCGGGCCUCAUGCUUUUGGAGCGGCCGAUGUCUGAUUAGCUAGUUGGUGAGGUGAAGGCUCACCAAGGCGACGAUCAGUAGCUGGUCUGAGAGGACGACCAGCCACACUGGGACUGAGACACGGCCCAGACUCCUACGGGAGGCAGCAGUGGGGAAUUUUGGACAAUGGGCGCAAGCCUGAUCCAGCAAUGCCGCGUGAGUGAAGAAGGCCCUCGGGUUGUAAAGCUCUUUUGUCAGGGAAGAAACGGCUGGGGUUAAUACCUUCGGCUAAUGACGGUACCUGAAGAAUAAGCACCGGCUAACUACGUGCCAGCAGCCGCCGUAAAAC
rnacentral:rRNA from 1 species